CUCUUUUCUUUUGACUUUGUGCUUAUAAAUGUUAACAGCUUAACAAAGACACAUGUAUUCAAUCACUAUUAAAAAUGUACAAAUUUAUUGACCCAGCAAAGACAACUAUGUGGUGUGAGUUAGCCGCUUGGUGCUGAUACGCUAUGAUGGUAUCGUUGUGAGAAAGUAAAGCACCAGAAACAAAAAAUCGGACCGCUUUAAACAACUGAAUUUAUCUACAACCCUACUGCUUACAAAAUUAUAAACAUUAAGAUCUAGAGACAAUGUGAGCAACUGGACAAGUUACCUCAGCAAAGAUCCACAUGAUGGCGUAGAAACACCACAAAUAUUCUGAAAACGCAGUAAAAGCUGGAGAAGCAGACGCAAAAUGAGAGAAAACCAUACAGAGACAAACUCACCUAGGAUACCAGGGAUCAUGCUGCUUAUUUUGCACAAAGAGUACUUAGUGUUUGUCUGUGUCUAUUACAAAUAAGUACAAAUA